UACGUAGGUGGCGAGCGUUAUCCGGAUUUAUUGGGCGUAAAGCGAGCGCAGGUGGUUUAUUAAGUCUGGUGUAAAAGGCAGUGGCUCAACCAUUGUAUGCAUUGGAAACUGGUAGACUUGAGUGCAGGAGAGGAGAGUGGAAUUCCAUGUGUAGCGGUGAAAUGCGUAGAUAUAUGGGGGAACACCGGUGGCGAAAGCGGCUCUCUGGCCUGUAACUGACACUGAGGCUCGAAAGCGUGGGGAGCAAACAGG
rnacentral:rRNA from 1 species